CCUACGGGUGGCAGCAGUGGGGAAUAUUGGGCAAUGGGCGCAAGCCUGACCCAGCAACGCCGCGUGAAGGAAGAAGGCUUUCGGGGUGUAAACCUCUUUUCUGAGGGACGAAGAAAGUGACGGUACCUCAGGAAUAAGCCACGGCUAACUACGUGCCUGCAGCCGCGGUAAUACGUAGGUGGCAGGCGUUAUCCGGAUUUAUUGGGUGUAAAGGGAGAGUAGGCGGGAAAGUAAGUCAGAUGUGAAACCUCGGGGCUCAACCCGGCGCCUGCAUUUGACACGGUUUUUCUUGAGUGUGGGAGCGGCAAUCGGAAUGCCGUGUGUAGCGGUGAAAUGCGUAGAUAUACGGAGGAACACCAGUGGCGAAGGCGGAUUGCUGGACAGUAACUGACGCUGAGGCGCGAAAGCGUGGGGAGCAAACAGGAUUAGAUACCCGAGUAGUC
rnacentral:rRNA from 1 species